AGAGUUUGAUCCUGGCUCAGAACGAACGCUGGCGGCGUGCUUAACACAUGCAAGUCGAGUGCGUAGUCCGUAGCAAUACGGAUGGGCGCACGGCGCACGGGUGCGUAACACGUGGGCAAUCUGCCCUCCGAUGGGGAAUAACCCCGCGAAAGCGGGGCUAAUACCGCAUAACAUUCCUUGGACGUAGGUUCGAGGAUUCAAAACAGUGAUGUGUCGGAGGAGGAGCCCGCGCCCGAUUAGCUAGUUGGUGAGGUAACGGCUCACCAAGGCAAUGAUCGGUAGCUGGUCUGAGAGGAUGAUCAGCCACACUGGAACUGAGACACGGUCCAGACUCCUACGGGAGGCAGCAGUGGGGAAUCUUGCGCAAUGGGCGAAAGCCUGACGCAGCGACGCCGCGUGGGGGAUGAAGCUUCUCGGAGUGUAAACCCCUUUCGACUGGGACGAAUGCCCGCAAGGGAGUGACGGUACCAGUAGAAGAAGCCCCGGCUAACUACGUGCCAGCAGCCGCGGUAAGACGUAGGGGGCCAGCGUUGUUCGGAAUUACUGGGUGUAAAGGGUUCGUAGGUGGUGUGGCUAGUUGGGAGUGAAAUCUCUGGGCUUAACCCAGAGGCUGCUUCCAAAACUGCUGUGCUGGAGUGUGGGAGAGGCGCGUGGAAUUGCAGGUGUAGCGGUGAAAUGCGUAGAUAUCUGCAGGAACACCCGUGGCGAAAGCGGCGCGCUGGACCACAACUGACGCUGAGGAACGAAAGCUAGGGGAGCAAACAGGAUUAGAUACCCUGGUAGUCC
rnacentral:rRNA from 1 species